UCAGGCCUAACACAUGCAAGUCGAACGGCAGCACAGCAGUAGCAAUACUGUGGGUGGCGAGUGGCGGACGGGUGAGGAAUACAUCGGAAUCUGCCUUAUCGUGGGGGAUAACGUAGGGAAACUUACGCUAAUACCGCAUACGACCUACGGGUGAAAGCGGAGGACCUUCGGGCUUCGCGCGAUAAGAUGAGCCGAUGUCGGAUUAGCUAGUUGGCGGGGUAAAGGCCCACCAAGGCGACGAUCCGUAGCUGGUCUGAGAGGAUGAUCAGCCACACUGGAACUGAGACACGGUCCAGACUCCUACGGGAGGCAGCAGUGGGGAAUAUUGGACAAUGGGUGCAAGCCUGAUCCAGCCAUGCCGCGUGGGUGAAGAAGGCCUUCGGGUUGUAAAGCCCUUUUGUCCGGAAAGAAAAGCUUCGGGCUAAUACCCCGGGGUCCUGACGGUACCGGAAGAAUAAGCACCGGCUAACUUCGUGCCAGCAGCCGCGGUAAU
rnacentral:rRNA from 1 species